ACKGCUCAGUAACACGUGGACAACCUAACCUAUGGAGGGGGAUAACCCCGGGAAACUGGGGAUAAUACCCCAUAGACUAUGGAUGCUGGAAUGCUUCGUAGUUGAAAGGUCCGCCGCUGUAGGAUGGGUCUGCGGCCGAUUAGGUUGUUGUUGGGGUAACGGCCCAACAAGCCUGUAAUCGGUACGGGUUGUGGGAGCAAGAGCCUGGAGAUGGAUUCUGAGACACGAAUCCAGGCCCUACGGGGCGCAGCAGGCGCGAAAACUUUGCAAUGCGGGAAACCGUGACAAGGGAACUCUGAGUGCCCGUUAAAUCGGGCUGUCCAUCGGUUUAAAUAACCGGUGAAGAAAGGGCCGGGCAAGACCGGUGCCAGCCGCCGCGGUAAUACCGGCGGCUCGAGUGGUGGCCACUAUUACUGGGCUUAAAGCGUUCGUAGCUGGUUUGUUAAGUCUCUGGGGAAAUCUUCCGGCUCAACCGGAAGGCGUCUCAGGGAUACUGGCAGGCUAGGGACCGGGAGACGUCGAGGGUACUCUGAGGGUAGCGGUGAAAUGCUCUAAUCCUCGGGGGACCACCAGUGGCGAAGGCGUUCGACGAGAACGGACCUGACGGUGAGGGGCGAAGGCUAGGGGAGCGAACGGGAUUAGAUACCCCGGUAGUCCUAGCUGUAAAGUAUGCGGGCCAGGUGUCUGGUGUUCCUCGAGAGCACCAGGUGCCGGAGAGAAGUCGUUAAGCCCGCCGCCUGGGAAGUACGGCCGCAAGGCUGAAACUUAAAGGAAUUGGCGGGGGAGCAC
rnacentral:rRNA from 1 species